rnacentral:lncRNA from 1 species
CCAGAUAACUACCGAUUACAUCCACUUUUUUUAUCAUCUUUAACAAACUGCCCAUACACCACUAUCUAUGUACUUAUCUACGUGGAGAGAGAGAUAUAACUGCCCAUACAUGUAGAGAUAACUACCCAUAUAUUCCUAUUAAUUUGCAUCAUCAUAUUCAACAAUACCACCCGAGGUAUGAAGCCUGUUUCCCCCAUAUCUUUUAUACAUAUAUUCCUAUUAAUUUGCAUCAUCAUAUUCAACAAUACCACCCGAGGUAUGAUGCCAGUUUCCCCCAUAUCUUUUAUAGAAGCAUCAACCUCAUGUGCUUUCAUACCCGUUGAUAUACAAAGAAAGAAGCCUAGGAACGUGGGAGAGAGAUUUCUUGCAAACCAAACAUGCCCUUGGGAAGAGACAAAGAGAAGGCCUGAGUGUUUUGCUAUAGCUUUGUGCAAAGGGCAGUCUAGUUUAAUUAACCAUAAC